ACUGAAUGUCUGCAGAGACCGGCCAGAUGAGGGGAUGAUGGAGUUGCCUGCUUGACUCGUUCCUGUACUUUUAUCCCAACAAAACAUGACACACACCGAGAUGUGAAAGCUGUCGACUUUUCUUUGUAAAUGUUUCUACCCAGGAAGACAUGAUUUCACCCACCAUGAAGCCUUCUGGAAGCACAUUCCUCUGACGCUGCAGCAGCGAAGGAAAGAUGGAAAAGAGAAGUUAUCAUUUCUUUCUCAAGAUCCUGGCCCCAUGAGCCUCAGUGUAGCCCUAGUUCCUGGGAUCAGCACCAACAGGCAGGGAGGAGAGGCUCUGGCGCCCUGCAGACAGCACCAGGUUCUUGGCAUCAGGAGCUGGAUACAGAGUCCCUGAUAAUCCCAGCCACAGAAUAUUUCAAACUCACCGACAUGUCCUCUAAAUAUCAGAUAUGAAAAGGCUUCCACUCUUGCACCUGUCUUGCUAUUAUUUUACAGAUGUGUUCUAAAAGCUAUAAAGACGGAAAUCACUAUUAGUGUGUCACUUAUGUGAUAUUCAGACACCUGAGCUCUGUGAUGAUUUUAAUGCCCCACAGGUCUUUCAGAAAUCCACCUCAUAUACCUCAGAACGCCCCUCCAUCUGCAAGGGAACGCAUGUGGAACAGGUGGAGAAGGAAUUCUUUUAGGCCCAUGGGUAGAAUUGUAAGGACUCUUGUAAAUGCUUCUUCUGUAGUAGAGAAGCUGGACGGUAUGUGUGUGUGCUUAUGCGUGUUUGAAUGGACGCAGGAAAAAUCAAUAAUCUGCUUGCAUCAACACCUAAAUAAAACCAAAAUAAUCCCA